rnacentral:rRNA from 1 species
AGUGAACGCUGGCGGUAGGCCUAACACAUGCAAGUCGAACGGCAGCACAGUAAGAGCUUGCUCUUACGGGUGGCGAGUGGCGGACGGGUGAGGAAUACAUCGGAAUCUACUUUUUCUUGGGGGAUAACGUAGGGAAACUUACGCUAAUGCCGCAUACGACCUACGGGUGAAAGCAGCGGAUCUUCGGACCUUGCGCGAUUGAAUGACCCGAUGUCGGAUUAGCUAGUUGGCGGGGUAAAGGCCCACCAAGGCGACGAUCCGUAGCUGGUCUGAGAGGAUGAUCAGCCACACUGGAACUGAGACACGGUCCAGACUCCUACGGGAGGCAGCAGUGGGGAAUAUUGGACAAUGGGCGCAAGCCUGAUCCAGCCAUACCGCGUGGGUGAAGAAGGCCUUCGGGUUGUAAAGCCCUUUUGUUGGGAAAGAAAAGCAGCAGGUUAAUACCCCGCUGUUCUGACGGUACCCAAAGAAUAAGCACCGGCUAACUUCGUG